GUGAAUCAUCGAAUUUUUGAACGCAAAUUGCGCUUCCUGGCAUCCCGGGAAGUAUGCCUGUUUGAGGGUCAGUAUUAACUUCAAAUCGGUUUGGUUGCAAAUUGUGACGCUUCCGGUGUUUGGGCUACUUUAACUUUUUUGGUUAAGGGGCUUAAAAUUGACCUUAUUUGCGCACUCUUUGACGUACAUACAUUUUUUUUUUAUUCGU
rnacentral:misc_RNA from 1 species